ACGGGUGAGUAACACGUGGGCAAUCUGCCCUUCACUCUGGGACAAGCCCUGGAAACGGGGUCUAAUACCGGAUAACACCUGCCCGGGCAUCUGGGUGGGUUAAAAGCUCCGGCGGUGAAGGAUGAGCCCGCGGCCUAUCAGCUUGUUGGUGAGGUAGUGGCUCACCAAGGCGACGACGGGUAGCCGGCCUGAGAGGGCGACCGGCCACACUGGGACUGAGACACGGCCCAGACUCCUACGGGAGGCAGCAGUGGGGAAUAUUGCACAAUGGGCGAAAGCCUGAUGCAGCGACGCCGCGUGAGGGAUGACGGCCUUCGGGUUGUAAACCUCUUUCAGCAGGGAAGAAGCGAGAGUGACGGUACCUGCAGAAGAAGCGCCGGCUAACUACGUGCCAGCAGCCGCGGUAAUACGUAGGGCGCAAGCGUUGUCCGGAAUUAUUGGGCGUAAGAGCUCGUAGGCGGCUUGUCACGUCGGGUGUGAAAGCCCGGGGCUUAACCCCGGGUCUGCAUUCGAUACGGGCUAGCUAGAGUGUGGUAGGGGAGAUCGGAAUUCCUGGUGUAGCGGUGAAAUGCGCAGA
rnacentral:rRNA from 1 species